CCUGCCUUAUACAGGGGGAUAACAGUUGGAAACGACUACUAAUACCGCAUAAGCGCACGGUAUCGCAUGAUACAGUGUGAAAACUCCGGUGGUAUAAGAUGGACCCGCGUCUGAUUAGUUAGUUGGUGGGGUAACGGCCCACCAAGGCGACGAUCAGUAGCCGACCUGAGAGGGUGACCGGCCACAUUGGGACUGAGACACGGCCCAAACUCCUACGGGAGGCAGCAGUGGGGAAUAUUGCACAAUGGGCGAAAGCCUGAUGCAGCGACGCCGCGUGAGCGAAGAAGUAUUUCGGUAUGUAAAGCUCUAUCAGCAGGGAAGAUAAUGACGGUACCUGACUAAGAAGCACCGGCUAAAUACGUGCCAGCAGCCGCGGUAAUACGUAUGGUGCAAGCGUUAUCCGGAUUUACUGGGUGUAAAGGGAGCGCAGGCGGUACGGCAAGUCUGAUGUGAAAGCCCGGGGCUCAACCCCGGUACUGCAUUGGAAACUGUCGGACUAGAGUGUCGGAGGGGUAAGUGGAAUUCCUAGUGUAGCGGUGAAAUGCGUAGAUAUUAGGAGGAACACCAGUGGCGAAGGCGGCUUACUG
rnacentral:rRNA from 1 species